rnacentral:rRNA from 1 species
UGACGAGUGGCAAACGGGUGAGUAACGCGUAUGCAACCUACCCUUAUCAGGAAGAUAGCCCAGGGAAACUUGGAUUAAUACUCCAUAGGAUUAAUUAUCGGCAUCGAUGAUUGAUUAAAGAUUUAUCGGAUAAGGAUGGGCAUGCGUGUCAUUAGGUAGUUGGUAAGGUAACGGCUUACCAAGCCUUCGAUGACUAGGGGUUCUAAAAGGAUGAUCCCCCACACUGGUACUGAGACACGGACCAGACUCC